CAUCCCGGCGGACCUGCGGGACCCGUUCUACAGGGAUCAGUACUGCGUGGAGCACAUCAAGCCCCCGGUGCUGUCUCUGCUGCUGUCCUCGGAGCUGUACUGCAGGGUGUGUGUGCUGCUGCUGAAGGGCGACCAGACGUCUGCGCUCCGCUCCCCAUCAGGACGUGAUCCAGACGCUCGCACGCCGAGGGAUGUGUGUCAGAGAAGCAGACGACACACCUGUCUCCUGUGACCACCUCUCCUCCACCCCCAUUAAGAUGAGUUCUCAUAUCCCGCUGAUAGACGCUCUGAUGAUGGCGUAUACGCUGGAGAUGAUGGCUACAGAGAGUUGUGGCCAGUGUCAAGCGCUUCUCCUCCUUCUGCGCCUCUAAAGAGCUUCCCUUCGACGUGGAGGACACCAUGCUGUUCUGGAUCAACAAGGUGAUUCUGAAGACGAGAGAGCUCUCCGAGAAGGAGCUCAAGAUCAAACAGCCGCUCUUGGAUUCGCCGUGCCAUCAGAAGGUCUGACCAAUCACGAGUCU